rnacentral:misc_RNA from 1 species
GUUUGGUGAAAUAAGCCUUGAUUGGGGUGUGCUGUUCGGCUUUGGACCGGGACUCACCGUCGAGACCGUAGUUCUUCACAGCCUUCCGAUCACUACCAACUGACGUCUGUAGCCUUCCCAUCACUACCAACUGAUCUCUGAAUCUUACAAAGAUAUGGAUCAUUUUAUUUGUUUUUAAAUUUCUUCCAUUAAAAUAAAUAAGUGUCUACUGUGUCUACUGCACCGGGCUACAUUCCGGCGAUAAUUAGUUGAAUUGUAUGUUUU